GAUUAAUUGCUAUCAAAUAGCUUUUGUUUCAUCAAGAAAGAAUAUUUGUAACCUUGGAAAACACGAGAAAGAAAAUUUAAAUUCAUAGGCGCUGUCUCUUAAACUUUCUAUAAAAAGUUAUUGUUUUGCCUCCUAAAACUUGUUUAAACUAAUUUUACCUCUUUAAUAUAAACCAUUACAUCAAUUUAAUAAAAAUUUGUCCAAUCAAUUACUG
rnacentral:misc_RNA from 1 species